rnacentral:rRNA from 1 species
UGAACGCUGGCGGCGUGCCUAAUACAUGCACGUCGAGCGAACGGACGAGAAGCUUGCUUCUCUGAUGUUAGCGGCGGACGGGUGAGUAACACGUGGAUAACCUACCUAUAAGACUGGGAUAACCUCGGGAAACCGGAGCUAAUACCGGAUAAUAUUUUGAACCGCAUGGUUCAAAAGUGAAAGACGGUCUUGCUGUCACUUAUAGAUGGAUCCGCGCUGCAUUAGCUAGUUGGUAAGGUAACGGCUUACCAAGGCAACGAUGCAUAGCCGACCUGAGAGGGUGAUCGGCCACACUGGAACUGAGACACGGUCCAGACUCCUACGGGAGGCAGCAGUAGGGAAUCUUCCGCAAUGGGCGAAAGCCUGACGGAGCAACGCCGCGUGAGUGAUGAAGGUCUUCGGAUCGUAAAACUCUGUUAUUAGGGAAGAACAUAUGUGUAAGUAACUGUGCACAUCUUGACGGUACCUAAUCAGAAAGCCACGGCUAACUACGUG